CGACAUCGUGGCGGAGGUCGUGGACCGCAUCGGCUACGACGCCGUCCAGCUGGACGGUCUGCGGGCGGGCCGCCUGUUCGAACCCGGCGGUCCCGU
rnacentral:tRNA from 1 species